UGGGGAAUUUUGGACAAUGGGGGAAACCCUGAUCCAGCCAUCCCGCGUGUGCGAUGAAGGCCUUCGGGUUGUAAAGCACUUUUGGCAGGAAAGAAACGUCAUGGGUUAAUACCCCGUGAAACUGACGGUACCUGCAGAAUAAGCACCGGCUAACUACGUGCCAGCAGCCGCGGUAAUACGUAGGGUGCAAGCGUUAAUCGGAAUUACUGGGCGUAAAGCGUGCGCAGGCGGUUCGGAAAGAAAGAUGUGAAAUCCCAGAGCUCAACUUUGGAACUGCAUUUUUAACUACCGGGCUAGAGUGUGUCAGAGGGAGGUGGAAUUCCGCGUGUAGCAGUGAAAUGCGUAGAUAUGCGGAGGAACACCGAAGGCGAAGGCAGCCUCCUGGGAUAACACUGACGCUCAUGCACGAAAGCGUGGGGAGCAAACAGG
rnacentral:rRNA from 1 species